CAGAACUGCCCGGUCCUGCCCGCUGAGGAGUUUCCCUCACUGCAUGAACACGAGAAUGAAAUCGCUGUGGCUUUUCCUUUUCCUGUUCUCUGCCCCCUCCUGUGUCCUGUCCCAGGUGCAGCUGGUCCAGUCCGGCCCGGGGGUGGUGAAGCCGGGAGCGACCCUCAGCAUCACCUGUAAAGUCUCUGGAGCUUCCGUCAGCAGCUACUAUUGGAGCUGGAACCGGCAGCCCCCCGGGAAAGGGCUGGAGUGGAUGGGCUUUAUCCGCAGCACUGCAGCAGGAGGGACCACAGAGUAUAACUCGGCUCUCAAGCCUCGUGUCACCAUCACCAGGGACACCUCUAAAGACGAAGUUUAUCUCCAGCUCGGCUCGCUGACAGCUGCAGACACCGGCACCUAUUACUGCGCUAGAUACACAGUGACACAGAGCAGAGCGGGACUGGCACAAAAAGGGGAAGCGGAUUUCUAAUCAGCCGACAUGGAUAUUCAGUUAGUGCUGUAGGGGAUGAGACAGACAGGCGGGGCAUUGCUGACAGGGGAUCUCAGGAGCCACCCGCGUUUCUCCGCUUGCAUCCACCCUCCCAGCCCCUUCCGCCAAGGGAUGUUACAUGCUCCGCUUCCCUGCGCUUCCCACUGAAAUGUGCACCAGGGACUCACUGAGACCGGGGUAACGGUGACAUUAGUGGUGAGAUACUCUGGGAAGCCGGGCUGAGAUCAGACAAAAACCUGCCCUGUCGCUUUCAGAAUCAGGUCGCUGCUGGCGGGGAACCGAGGAUCAAGCACCAAAAUCUGCAGAGGAGAAAAGAGAAAAAACAGAAAAAUCUCCCAAUCCCUGCCUGUCACCUCCACUUCCCUGUUCCCGGGAAUUUACCCAACUUAGAUGUUCACGUUCAUACAAGAAGGCAUGUUUGGGAGGCGCUUUCCCACCCCGUCCCCCUGCCACUUACACACCGGGAGGUCCCUUCUCCACCCACCCCAUCCCAACAAACAUACCCAGCACCUCCACGUGCCCCGCGUGCUGGGACUGAUGCAACAUCAAUUAUAUCUAACAAACAAAUCUUUGGGAGUGGGAACAUCUGUUUGUCCUGAGAUGGCCCAGGGCUUCGACUAAUGGGAUCCGAAAGACGACUCCCAGGCCCAACCACAACACAAAGGAUAAAUUAUUAUUAUUGAUUUAUUAUUAUUCAUUGUCAUAACUGAAUAGCAGUGAUUCAGGAC